rnacentral:lncRNA from 1 species
GAGGAUCUUGCCAUCUCUUUUACAGAUCCGUGGAAGGCAGAGAGAAUUUGGGAACCUGUGUGCUAUAAGCAUGGAAAAUUGGGACUCAGGUAAAAAGGCUGGUUCCUGGUCACACAGCUGGUCAUGGGCACUUUGGCAAAGGAGUGUGAGUUUUGGGGAAGCUCAAGGAAGAGGUACCAGGUAGAGAGAGGGCCAGGGCUGAGUUCACGGGCUCUUUCUAAAUGGAAAUGUCUCACAUUCAGCUGUUGUCUGCCUUUGAGUCACACAGAACCACUUGCAGGAAGAACUCUAGAGAAUUUGGGAAGAAAGGGGGAGAGGACAGACAAAAGAUGCAUUUUUUUUUCAAGAAGCAGGAAAAUGUAAGGAAAAUUGAAGGUGUUCUCAAGUGUGUCUGCUGCUGCCUGACACAGGUUAACCCCGUCGCAGGUCACUCCGCUCUGUUAAUUGCAUCCUAACCUUCCUCGGCUCUUCGGCAGCGAAAUCGCAGCAGAGGAGAUGGAGCAGCUUCGUGCGCAUUGCUCAUUUGCGCCAACGUGAAAAGAACUGCCAGGAUGCCCAGGACACCAGCUCCCUGGCUUCUGCGGGGCUUGCACAGUCCUGAAUCAGCCCGAGAGCUGUGGAUCUGCGUCCCCUGGCUGCAUAGCCGACUGCCGGCUCCAUGGAGGGGCCUGUGCCGGAGAACGCACAUGUUGACUUAUUUCUUCAGUCUAGGCCUUUCUUGGCCCCCUUGGUUAUUCAUUCUAGAUGAUACACCUCGUAUUUCAGUUCAAAUGUCUUACGGAAGAGGCAUUGAAGACAGAGUGGAUGCCCGUGUUCUUUGGCAGUAGGUAGUAUUUACCACUCCGGCUGUAGUAAAAGAACAAAAGGAGAAAUUACACCUAUUUCUCAUAUUUAAGGGAAAAGCAAUUAAAUCACCAAAGUCAGAUUCUCGAGUAAUUGCUGGGCCCUUGGAGGGGCGGGCAAGGUGAGGUGUGAG